rfam:Myotis brandtii contig153172, whole genome shotgun sequence.
GGCGGUUCUCGGUGAUGCACACCAGAAUUGGGCUUCCUCCUCUCUGGUUCCGGAUGCAUCACCCAAGAACCACA